CAGUAGCCACGGUAAUACGGAGGUGGCUAGCGUUGUUCGGAAUUACUGGGCGUAAAGCGUACGUAGGUGGCUUUGUAAGUUAGAGGUGAAAGCCUGGAGCUCAACUCCAGAAUUGCCUUUAAGACUGCAUCGCUUGAACGUCGGAGAGGUGAGUGGAAUUCCGAGUGUAGAGGUGAAAUCCGUAGAUAUUCGGAAGAACACCAGUGGCGAAGGCGGCUCACUGGACGACUGUUGACGCUGAGGUACGAAAGCGUGGGGAGCAAACAGGAUUAGAGACCCCAGUAGUCCCUGUCUCUUAUAC
rnacentral:rRNA from 1 species